rnacentral:rRNA from 1 species
GACGAACGCUGGCGGCGUGCCUAAUACAUGCAAGUCGAACGCAGUGGGGACGGGUGAGUAACACGUGGGUAACCUCCCAUCAGAGGGGAUAACACCUGGAAACAGGUGCUAAACCGAUAGUGAUGGAUGGACCCGCGGUGCAUUAGCUAGUUGGAGAGGUAACGGCGCACCAAGGCCACGAUGCAUAGACGACCAGAGAGGGUGAUCGGAAAAACUGGUACUGAGACACGGCUCAGAAUCCGACGGGAGGCAGCAGUAGGGAGUCUUCGGCAAAGGACGACAGUCUGACCGAGCAACGCCGCGUGAGUUAAGAAGGUUUUCGGAGCGUAAAACUCUGUUGUUAGAGAAGCGGUAUCUAACCCGAGUGCCACGGCUAACUACGUGCCAGCAGCCGCGGAAAUUC